rnacentral:misc_RNA from 1 species
GAAAUGCGAUAAGUAAUGUGAAUUGCAGAAUUCAGUGAAUCAUCGAAUCUUUGAACGCACCUUGCGCACCUUGGUAUUCCUUGGAGCAUGCCUGUUUGAGUAUCAUGAAAUCUUCAAAGUAAAUCUUUUGUUAACUCAAUUGGUUUCUACUUUGGUAUUGGAGGUCUUUGCAGCUUCACACCUGCUCCUCUUUGUUCAUUAGCUGGAUCUCAGUGUUAUGCUUGGUUCCACUCGGCGUGAUAAGUUAUCUAUCGCUGAGGACACUGUAAAAGGUGGCCAAGGUAAAUGCAGAUGAACCGCUUCUAAUAGUCCAUUGACUUGGACAAUACUUUUAUGAUCUGAUCUCAAAUCAGGUAGGACUACCCGCUGAACUUAAAC